CGGGAUAAGCCGUGGAAACGCCGUCUAAUACCGGAUACGACCUCCCACCUCAUGGUGGAGGGUGGAAAGUUUUUCGGUCAGGGAUGGGCUCCCGGCCUAUCUCCUUGUUGGUGGGGUAACGGGCUACCACGGCGAUAACAGGUAGCCGGCCUGAGAGGGGGACCGGGCACACUGGGACUGAGACACGGCCCCCACACCCG
rnacentral:rRNA from 1 species